rnacentral:lncRNA from 1 species
CUUAUGAGCAUUUUGUUACCACUAUUAUGCAUGGUAAAGAAACUGUGAAAUUUGAAGAUGUGUCAAAUGCCUUAAUGAAUUAUGAAAUGAGGCAUAGAGAUAAAAAUCAUGAUAGUAACUCUGAAGCUUUAUUUGUUAGAGGUAGAUCAUCGGAGAGGAGGUCAUCUUCUAGUAGGAAAAAAUCACAGUCUCGACCUAGAGGAAACUCUAAAGGUAGAAAAACCUUUGGAAAGGGAUGAAUGUGCCUUUUGUCAUAAUAAGGGUCAUUGGAAGAAAGAUUGUCCUAAGUUGAAGACCAAAGGAAAAGAAAGUUCUGAAGCUAAUGUUGCUGAGGUUGAAACAGAUUUUUCUGAUUUUGCUUUAACCACUUCCUCAUCUUUUGAUUGUGCUACUAAAUGGGUGUUGGAUACGGGUUGUACUCAUCAUAUGACUCCUCACAAGGAUUGGUUUUCAAGCUUGAAAGAGUUUGAUAGUGGCGUUGUGUUCAUGGGAGAUGACAAUCCUUGCACAACAAAAGGGAUUGGUACAGUUCGUUUGAAGUUGCAUGAUGGCAUGGUUAAAGAGUUGACAGGUGUUCGGUAUGUACCGAAUUUGAAGAAAAAUCUUAUUUCUUUGGGUACUUUGGAAUCCAAGGGUUUCAGGUUUCAUUCAGAUGGACAGACAUUGAAAGUUACUUAUGGUGCACUUGUUGUGAUGAAAGCUCCUAGAUGUGGCCAUUUGUAUUUAUUGCAGGGGAAGCACUGUGACAGGUGAAGCAUUUGUAGUCUCUGAAAAUAUGGGCACAUCUGAUUCAGAUACUACUAGACUGUGGCAUAUGAGAUUAGGCCAUGCCGGUGAGAAAGCUCUACAAGGGCUUGUGAAACAAGGUCUUCUAAAAGGUGCCACGACUUGUAAGCUUGAUUUCUGCGAGCAUUGUGUCUUGGGGAAGCAAACUAGAGUGAAGUUUGGUAAUGCUGUACAUCAGACGAAGGGCAUUCUUGAUUAUGUGCAUUCGGAUGUUUGGGGUCCUACAAAGACUCCCUCUUUGAGUGGUAGACAUUGGUUCGUGACCUUUGUUGAUGAUUAUUCAAGAAGGUCUUGGGUCUACACUAUGAAGCACAAGAGUGAGGUGUUGAGCAUUUUCUUGAGUUGGAAGAAAAUGGUUGAGAACCAGACUGGGAGAAAGAUUAAGAUUUUGAGAUCGGAUAAUGGUGGUGAAUACACAUCCGACCCUUUCUUUAAAGUUUGCAAAGAGGAAGGAAUUGUGAGACAUUUUUAGUGUUCGGGGAACUCCACAACAAAAUGGAGUUGCAGAAAGAUUGAAUCGAACCUUGCUUGAGAAGGUUAGAUGUAUGUUGUCUCAGUCGGGUUUAAGCAAGUCAUUUUGGGCAGAAGCAGUUAAUUAUGCAUGUCACAUCAUCAACCGGUUACCUUCAGCUGCUAUUCAGGGUAAGACACCAAUGGAGGUAUGGACUGGAAAACCUUCUUCUGAUUAUGAUCAUAUUCGUAUUUUUUGGUUCACCUGCUUAUUUUCAUGUAACUGAAAAUAAACUUGAUCCUAGAGCCAAAAAGGCUAUCUUUCUUGGUUUUAGUAGUGGUGUCAAAGGUUACAGGUUGUGGUGUCCAGAGAUGAAGAAACUGGUAAUUAGUAGAGAUGUGACAUUUGACGAAUAAAGUAUGUACAAAGUCUCUGAGAAGAAUGUGAAAGAUGUCCAACAGGUGGAGCUUGAGAAAGUUGCCUCUGGUACUUCAAAUCCUAUUUCCGCUGAUGUCGAAGCCACUACAAGUGAAGAAGUGGGAGACCAUGAGGAUGUUGAAGAAGUUGAACUUGAAGAUUCUAUUCAAGUUGAAGAGCAGCAAGUUUCACCUCAAGAGUCUAUUGCCAAGAACAGAGGAAAGAGACAAAUUACCAAGCCAGCUCGGUAUAGUGACUAUGUUUCUUUUGCUCUUCCUAUUAUCACUGAUGAGAUUCCAUCCAAUUUCGAGGAAGCCAUUGAGAGUGAGGAGAAGGAGAGGUGGUGGUGCAAUGCCAUGGGUGAUGAGAUGAAUUCUCUCUUGAAGAACAAGACUUGGGAGUUAGCUAAAUUGCCUAAGGGCAAGAAAGCUAUUGGUUGCAAAUGGGUGUAUGCCAAGAAGGAAGAUGCUGAUGAGAAAAGCAAUGUGAGAUUCAAAGCAAGAUUAGUUGCUAAAGGGUAUGCACAAAAGGAGGGCAUUAACUACAAUGAAAUCUUUUCUCCGGUUGUGAAGCACUCCUCAAUUCGCAUUAUGUUAGCUCUUGUUGCACAGUAUGAUCUUGAGCUUGUGCAACUUGAUGUGAAGACGGCUUUCCUACAUGGUGAUUUGAAUGAAGAGAUUUAUAUGUGUCAACCGGAUGGGUAUAUAGUGAAAGGGAAGGAGAAUUUGUUUUGCAAAUUGAAGAAAUCACUUUAUGGCUUGAAGCAAUCUCCAAGACAAUGGUAUUUGAGGUUUGAUAAAUUUAUGAGAGGCCAAAAUUAUUCUAGAAGUCAAUAUGAUCAUUUGUGUGUACUUCAAGAAGUUGCAAGAUGGGUCUUUCAUUUAUUUAUUGAUAUAUGUUGAUGAUAUGUUGAUUGCUUCAAAGAAUGUUGAAGAGAUUGAGAAAUUGAAGAAAACAAAUGAAGAAUGAGUUUGAGAUGAAGGAUCUUGGUGAAGCAAAGAAGAUCCUUGGCAUGGAGAUCACUCGAGAUAGAGAGAAAGGUUUGGUCAGUUUGAAUCAAAGACAAUACCUUGAGAAGUUGAUUCGGAAGUUUGGAGUUCAUGAUUCAACCAAACCGGUUAGUACCCCUUUGGCUCCUCAUUUUAAAUUGAGUUCUCUACAAUGUCCUAAAAAUGAUAAAGAGAAGCUGCAAAUGAAAAAUAUACCAUAUGCAAAUUUGGUUGGUAGUUUGAUGUAUGCAAUGGUAUGCUCUAAACCGGAUAUUGCUCAUGCAGUUGGCAUGGUGAGUCGAUAUAUGCAUAAUCCAGGUAAAGAGCAUUGGCAAGCAGCUAAGUGGAUAUUGAGGUAUCUCCAUGGUACUCGAGAUGUUGGUUUAUGCUUUGAGAGAGAUGACUCUGGUAUUGGUCAUUUUGCAGUUGGUUAUGUUGAUUCAGAUUAUGCAGGUGAUCUGGAUGGAAGGAAGUCUACUACAGGCUAUGUGUUUACUAUGGCUAAAGGACCAGUUUGUUGGAGGUCGAUUUUGCAGUCGUCUGUUGCCUUGUCUACUACAGAGGCUGAAUAUAUGGCAGUUGCUGAAGCUAUAAAGGAGGCCAUUUGGAUACAUGGGUUGAUUAGAGAUUUGGGGGUUGAUCAGAAGCAGGUGGAGGUACAUUGUGAUAGUCAGAGUGCCAUUUAUUUGGCUAAGUAUCAGGUUCAUCAUGCGAGGACCAAGCACAUAGAUGUGCGUUAUCACUUUGUUCGUGAAAUUGUUGGUGAAGGGGAAAUCAUUCUCCAGAAGAUUCCAACUAAAGACAACCCCGCUGAUAUGUUGACUAAGGUUGUUGGUGUAGCCAAGUUUGUUCACUGUUUGAACUUGGCUCACAUUAUGCCUAUAUAAAGAAGGCGUUGAGCAGUAGGAGUUUUGGAGCAUUUGGCUUGGCAUGAGUUGUUCUCUUGCUAGUGUUUGGGAGUGAUUUUUGUGUUGAUUGUGUUGGUUGGCUUAUCAUGGUGUUUUCGGAAGUUGGCCAAGGUGGAGAUUGUUGAAUUAUGGCCAAACAAACAACUUUCGGCUAUUAAAAAAAAAAGGAAAAGAAAAAGGGACAACAUUAUGAUGUUUCUUCCUUGUUUUGGGGAAAAGAAAAGCACUUUGUCUAAAGUUUUCUUGGUCCAUGGGAAAUCACGGGGUGACUUGAAUGAAUGGCUAUGUUAUGAUAAGGAAGCUGCUGCCCUUUGUUUUUUUAAGUGAGCAGAAAAUUGGUGAGCCGAAGAGAAGAGAGGGAGAGAAAGAAGGUACUGUUGCAGUACCAUUUUGAGAGAAGGAGUUGUUGUUCCUUUCAUUGGAUAGUUCUCACUCCAUCAAAGUGUUAUUGUUGUAAUAGCUUUGAGCUUUGUAUAGAGAAGAAAUUAAUCACGAUAUUUCUUUCUCUAUUUGUUUCUUUAGAGUGUGAGAGUUAUUGGGUGUAUUGGGUUAUUUGGGUUGUGAGAUUGCCAACACUUUGUAAACUCCCAUUUGGUUGAUAGUGGAUUAUUGGGUGAGCUCCUACUGCUUCGAGGAUGUACUCCAGUUACACUGACUGUUGAGGAACCUCGUUAAAAUCUUGGUGUCUUUAAUAUUUUGUUCUUGCAUUUCAUUUGAUAUAUUUCUUGUGAGUUAUCAAGAGUUGGUUCCAACGGGUUUGGUGCUAUCUUAGCACAACAAUUGGUAUCAGAGCACUGGUUGCUCUUGGGUACUGUCUAGUUGCCAAAGAUGUCAGACGGGCAAGAUGAGAAUCCUUUUGGAAGCAGCUCCGGGUUUGCAAGAACUACGGUGCAAAAUGCAAAGUUUGAAGUGGAAAAGUUUGAUGGCACAAACAACUUCGGGAUGUGGCAAUGUGAGGUCAAAGAUAUGUUGGCUCAACAAGAUCUACUUGCCGCUUUAGGAGAGAAGCCGGAAGCUAUGUCGAAGCCAGAAUGGGAAAAAUUAAAUUUGUGGGCUUGCUCUUCAAUUCGGUUGUGCCUUGCAAAAACUCAAAAGUAUUUUGUGAUGCGGGAGACGGUAGCAAGUGUGUUGUGGCAAAAAUUGGAAGACAAGUAUAUGACGAAGAGUGCAGAGAACCGGCUACACUUGAAGAAAAAAGCUCUACCCGCUUUCAAUUCAAAGAAGGUACAAAAAAUGAUUAGACACCUUGAUGCUUUUAAAUAAGUUGAUUGCCGACUUGUUAAAUUUAGAUGAGGAUAUUAAGGAUGAAGAUAAGGCCUUAAUAUUGUUGAAUUCCUUGCCGGACUCUUAUGAGCAUUUUGUUACCACUAUUAUGCAUGGUAAAGAAACUGUGAAAUUUGAAGAUGUGUCAAAUGCCUUAAUGAAUUAUGAAAUGAGGCAUAGAGAUAAAAAUCAUGAUAGUACCUCUGAAGCUUUAUUUGUUAGAGGUAGAUCAUCGGAGAGGAGGUCAUCUUCUAGUAGGAAAAAAUCACAGUCUCGACCUAGAGGAAACUCUAAAGGUAGAAAACCUUUGGAAAGGGAUGAAUGUGCCUUUUGUCAUAAUAAGGGUCAUUGGAAGAAAGAUUGUCCUAAGUUGAAGACCAAAGGAAAAGAAAGUUCUGAAGCUAAUGUUGCUGAGGUUGAAACAGAUUUUUCUGAUUUUGCUUUAACCACUUCCUCAUCUUUUGAUUGUGCUACUAAAUGGGUGUUGGAUACGGGUUGUACUCAUCAUAUGACUCCUCACAAGGAUUGGUUUUCAAGCUUGAAAGAGUUUGAUGGUGGCGUUGUGUUCAUGGGAGAUGACAAUCCUUGCACAACAAAAGGGAUUGGUACAGUUCGUUUGAAGUUGCAUGAUGGCAGUACCAAUAAGGCACCCCAAACAUCCGAAUGCACAUAAUUCAAGAUGAGGCACCUUAUUGUCUGUUCUCAAUGGGUGCCUCAUCUUGAAUUGUAUACAGAAUUUUCUCGUGAGGAAGAAGAUAAGCAACCCUUCUCUUCCAUAUACGAUGAUUGACAUUAUUGAGCCUCUCAAUUCUGAUCGAUUCAAACUUACUAGCCAUUUCACAAAUUUAAUGAUACUAACAACUACAAACAAUAAGGGAAAUAGAAACAGAAUAAUAUACUACUAAACUUGAUUUAAUAAACAAUAAACUUACUAAACUAAGUUGAUCACGUUUGUCCUGCACACACUUCCCAAAAAGAAGUUACUAUCUGGAAAAUGAAAUGUGUUUUUUCUAUAUUUGAUUUGCAGUGCACAGUUUCCAAUUCCUCUUGAAUGAAAUGUAUGUUUGCGAUAUUUGAGAUAUUAUAUAUACUAAAUAUAACCGCUUGGAGGAGUUCUAGUGGUUGAAAUUGAUGGUUUAUGUUAACUGAGAAUACAGAUUUGCAGAAACACAAUACUUCUAUUCCUCUCAGGUCUGGUUACAGAACUCUCUUCAGUACAUAAUCAAGACGACGUUUCGUAUUCCUUGUUUGAAUGAAAGACAAAACUAUAAAUCCAAUUGCAAUUUGAAUUAGAUCCCCAGCGGAAGCCAACAAACGAAAACGCUGAGACUAUCGUCUGCAGUCGAUCGUUGUCUGAUUCCGUGUAUGAUAACAGAGAACCAAUGCUCGAUACCACUAAUGGAAUUUAGCACGAUUGUCACAGGAUCAAACUCUAAUGUUGUUAGACUAUUGAUUACUAUGUGGUAAUGCCAAGGGAGAAAAAAAGGGAAGAAGAGAGUUUGUUUCACAUUUGAUAAUUUGUCUAGAGGAAUGAAUCCUCCUUUUAUAGACUUCAUCACACCCUUUUCAUAGAGUUGUGAGACUUCUCUGAAUGGUCUUAUCCUUUCAUGAUAAGACAUAUCACUUAUAGAAGGGUAUAACUCUUAUGAUAAGUCAUACCUCUUAUCACACCCUUUGGUUAAGUGUAUAUCAGUACACCAAUCUUAUGGUGCACCUCCAAACAUCAAAUACACACAUAGUAACGCCAACAUCAUCAUGAUCAUAUUCCAACAUGCAGGAGUUUUGAUGGCAUUGUUUCAACAUAUGAUAAGAUUCAGACUGCACCAACUCAGUAGAUCGAUCGAUUUGUCCAGCUGUCCGCUGUCGGAUGUCUUGUGCAAGCAGAUCAGCAGC